UUGUCCGUGACUGGAUGGAGAGGGACCAGAGAGCACGGCUUCAAGUCUUAAAGGCAUCCUGUGAGAAGAAACCAGUGAUCAAGAGAAGUUUCUUGAUACAAUAUCUACCUGUAACUUGUUAGCCAGUGAAAAGAAGAACACGGCUUUGCUUCUCCUUACCUGCCAGUUUCUGCAGAGCUCUACUGCAACCUUGGAUCACGGGUUGCGGUGUUGGCAGUGUGCUAGCAAUGAUCUCAGGUGAGCGCAGAAAACAGCCUGACUAAUGGAAACAUGAUCUCAAGAGAUUCCUUCAGGAUCAUACUUAAUCCUGGUUUGGACUGUGGACAUAGCAUCGCCUGCAGCAGAUGUUUGCUCCUGGCAUGGCUGCAAACUGCAUGAGCUCCAUCACCGACAAUCCAGUUCUCGGGAUGCAUCGCCAGCAGCUUGGACACGGAGAAGCUGUGACACAAACUCAGCAGGACAGUGGAGUGUAUUCUGCUGCUCGGAUAUUAUGGAACAGACCGGUCAACCUCGUCUGGAGAGGCACUCGAUAGGAAAAUCAGCUCUAUGAGGCUACGAUUACCGCGGUUACCACAAUGGAUCUACACAUUGUUUGACUUUUUCUAAAUUGAACCUGGAUUAAUAUUUCCCUGUAUAUACAUCUGCUUUUGAUAUUCAGUGUUUAUUCCCGCUGUUGCUCAUUCCCUGCACUUAUAUACUGUGUUAUUCUGGAUACAGUAUCAACAAAUGCUGGAACAGUAAACGGAAAAUAAUCAGCUGUUAUUUCCUCUUUAGGUCUAUUAUUUUUACAGGAGGAAGGCAGCACUUACACCAAUCUCGUAAGGAGCAAACUAAAUGUUUUCCUGUUGAAUUAAUUAACACACAUAGGAAUUGUCACAGGGAUUACUCAAUUAAUAAACAUUCAACAUCUUCCAAUUAAGAAAAGAUAAUCCUUUAUUAGUCCAGCAGCAGGGAAAUUACAACAAUUGCCUUCACAAUGAAGCCAUUGAACCAAAGGUGCUUAUGAAUACAACUAUUGACAACUCUUUGGGAGUCUUGUUCAUUCUGGUUGAGGAAUCUUUUCCAACUCUUUGAUCUGAUAAAGACGUAUUGCUUCAUCGGACUUGUCUGUGUAACCCUCGAACAGAAAUAAAAAAGAAAA
ensembl:lncRNA